GCAUCCGCAUUCGAUCCGGGUGCUCCGCCCUGCAGCCGCAGGACGGAGUGAAACGGGAAGUCCGGUGACGCUGAAACCCGCGCGUUUCAGCCAGUCCGGCGCAGCCCCCGCUGCUGUGAGCCUGACGACUCCGCCAACACGCCACUGAGCCUUGCGCUCGGGAAGGCCGGUGGACGAGGAAGAAGGCAAGCCAGAAGACCGGCCCGAUCGAGUUUCGUGAU
rnacentral:ncRNA from 1 species